rnacentral:rRNA from 1 species
UACAGAGGUCUCAAGCGUUGUUCGGAUUCACUGGGCUUAAAGGGUGCGUAGGCGGCGCGACAAGUUGGGUGUGAAAUCCCUCGGCUCAACCGAGGAACUGCGCCCAAAACUGUCGUGCUCGAGGGAGACAGAGGUGAGCGGAACUUAGGGUGGAGCGGUGAAAUGCGUAGAUAUCGUCAGGAAUGCCGGUGGUGAAGACGGGUGACUGGGCUGGUUCUGACACUGAGGCACGAAAGCGUGGGGAGCGAACGGG